rnacentral:rRNA from 1 species
UACGUAGGGUGCAAGCGUUGUCCGGAAUUAUUGGGCGUAAAGAGCUCGUAGGCGGUUUGUCGCGUCGGCUGUGAAAACUCGGGGCUCAACCCCGAGCCUGCAGUCGAUACGGGCAAACUAGAGUGUGGUAGGGGAGACUGGAAUUCCUGGUGUAGCGGUGAAAUGCGCAGAUAUCAGGGGGAACACCGGUGGCGAAGGCGGGUCUCUGGGCAGUAACUGACGCUGAGGAGCGAAAGCGUGGGGAGCGAACAGG